rnacentral:rRNA from 1 species
GGUGAGCUACUCUAAGUGUGCAGGUGUGCGUGUGGGUGCGAGUGUGAGGGUCCGCGCCCUCACUUCUGCUUCUCUCUCCCUUCUGCUGCGCCCGUGACUGUGGCUGCGGGCGCGGGUAAAGGGACGAGGCGAAGGCAGGGUAGGGAGGGAGGUGGUGGCGGUGGUGGCGGGUGAGGAUCCGGGCGAAGGGCAAGGCGAACGAGGCGGCAGCUGACGCCGGCUCGCCUCCUCCUCUUCGCUCGCUAGGCACCCUCCCUGCUUCCCCCGCCGCACGCCUGUCAUCGCGCCCCUAGUCCGGACGCAACGCUCACCAACUCUAAGCACGAUACCCGCCUAAGAGACGCCGACGUCGCCGCCUCGCCACGCGCCAGCCCUAGGUGCGCAGGGGCAGGAGCGGCCGCGGCGCGGGCGCCAGCGUCGCCGGCGACGGGCGGGCGGCGCGGCGGCGGAGGCGGAGGGAGCGCCAGAGGGCGGCGUCGGAGGAGCACGGGGCGCGGCAGCGGCGCGGGUGGCUGGCGCGGAGGGGCCUUCAACAGCCUUCCAAGUUCGACCUCAGGUUGAGGCUCGAGGUCCACUGAGACUUGGGUCGCGGCGUCCCACGCCAGCGGCUCUAGUUAGAGGUCCGCUGGUUGUGGUCGCCGAGGGACCAAGACGUAACCCCGCGGGAGGCGGGCCUGUCCUCUCUUACCUAGGAGGGCAGGGCUUCUGGCCUACCUUGCUGUCACAUGUUCUUGUUCCGGGAGUCCAGUGGAAAACAUUUCAGUCCACUGUUAAGGUGCGACUCUUAACUCUAUCUACUAGGGCGCCAAGUUCGGUAGCUCAAGGAACACAAGCUGCUCCGUGCCUUAUUUACCAAAUUUUUGUUACCGGUCUUAAAGGAUUAGGUUGAGGUCUGUUCGGCAUUACUCCCCGUUCUACGUGGACCACGAUGACGAAGACGACAACACCACGGUCUCCUAGAACACGUCUAGGUUAGCAUGGAAGCAACCCUUUCCUUACCUUUCGUCAGAAUAUGUCGACUGGUUCUCUUCCACCUCAUACUUCGUCGUGCUCGUCUCAAUUAUCUCCUUAAUUUGUCUCCACAUGGUGACCUCUUCGACGCUCGAUCUAAUUGUUUUUGCGGGCUCAGCUCACCUUCACUACGAGGACGUAGAGUUUGAUGGUAUUGGUCACAGGGUCUCCUUGAACAUGUUCAGGUCCGAAUGGAUUCUACCCUCUUUCGACCGUUCGGUUUAAUAAGGGGUCUCUUCGUUGACCAACUCAAACUCCUUCGUUCCUUCCUUGACGUCCGACUCAACCUAUUACCUCGGAGUCAACUAGUUAAUUCCUUCUUUUAACACUUUCCUUUGGAACUUUAAAGGUUCGUUGACCUCUUCUUCUUCAUGAAGAGUCAUCUUUCCUAAGUCGCGUCUUUGUCUCUAUAGUGCGUUGAAGAAUUAUUUGUAUUCGGACACCAAUGUCUUUUCGUUCAUUUUCGACGUGGGUUUGUUGGUUGACAAAACCUAGAGAAGUGUUUCAGGAACGUCCUCCCCCUAUUGACACUGCAGGAUUCGUCCUUCGAAAAGUUCUAGCCACUACUCCUCUAUGACCGUUAACGGUGUUUACGAGAUCCAUUUUGGUCUCAAGUGAACCGUUGUUUGGCAUACCUCGGUGAAUAAGAAGUGACCCGUGACCGUUUUUUCGGACCUCUUACCCUCCGUGGAGGAAGAUCGUAUCAAGGAAGACCGAGUUGUCAAGAGCUGUUCCGUACACUUUGAAGUAAGCCACUCAGACUUAACCUACCAAACGUUAUGGUCCAACAACUCUAUCUCGAACUACUGCCGUCUAUGUUCCCCUACGGGAAACAAGAGGCCGCACCACUUUGUACCUAUUUCUUGUUGCUGAGACUGAAGAUAAACCUAAAGUUGUGGUUUCAAUGGUUCUUUAGUUUCCUAUGCCCACUGCGGCCAUUUCCGUGGCGUUUCCUAAAGGACCUUUCUUAUCGUCUAGACCUCCUUCUACGGGUCGCUAGAAAAUACGUGUCUAAAUUAUAACGCCGCCUAGAUCAACUGGUUCGGUCUCUACGACCUGAUAACCCAUAGCAACCUGAAAAACAAACCUAAUCUAAGUACAGAUGGUCCGUUGAUUAUACCUUGUUCUUGAUGUUACACUUUGGUGCACUCUAUUCGGUUCGUGUUCUGUCCAAAUGUCUACUGGAACUCUUAUACAUGUUUUCAAUGGGUGUCAUGUCUCUCUAGAAUUCUUACAAUAACAGACGACAACCAGCACCUCCACUUCCACUACAACCAGUCGCAUAGGCACUACUCUAUAAUCAUUAGGUCUCUUUAUUACUGACGUUUCCACCUUAAUACCUUCUUACCGUGGUCUUUGACGUGUUGUUAUGUUCGGGUCUACUACAUCAGUAUACGGUCCGCUAUUAACUAAUAUAGUUCUCGCUAAAACUAUAGUUGCAAAUGACCCUGUGGAACUUGUUUUUACCGUAUUGGUUUCUUGCUGACAACUCGAUACUAGCACGUUAAGUAAGUCUUGGUUUUAAGUCCUCACUGGUCUUUCUCCCCAAUGAGGCACUAAACCCGUUGAUAUACUCUUCGGACUUCCGACACGUGAGACCACGACUAGAACUCAGACGAUAACGCUGUACAUACCCUAUGUUUAGUCUCCCACUUCCAAAGUACCAACCACAAGUUUAGUUGGGCCACUUACCAAAUAGUAGACCAAAAGGACUAAACGAAGUUAAACACGAACUGGUACAACUCCUAUUUAGUCGUCUCGGUGAAGAACUCCCCAAUAACCUCCGAGCACAACUUGAUGCGGGAAACGAGUAACCGAGUAGACUUGCGAACUUCCUAGAAUAGAAAAACCUGUAACGAGAACUAAGAUGAAAGUCCUGUCGUCAACUUUCCAGCAUACUCCUCGACUUACUACGUCGUGGCCUCUUUUAAUACAUGAAGUAGUCAGAACAAGAACUUUUAGAACGGAACAGGUGACUGCUGUUGCUUCUGUAGAAUAUAACGAAUUUCCCUACCUUAGCUCGGUACCUGUACCAAUUCGUUUUCCUACUGGUUACCCGGGAGAUGCGAUUUCGUAAAGAACUGUCUUGGUCUGAACGGGAACGCUCGUUCCCGCUUGUUAUGAUGUUAUACUACGUCGGGAGCCGACUUAUAGAACCGAGUAAUGAGUUGCAACUCCUUACCCGUCAACUGUAGAAGUGUCUUCUUCAUUAAGCACCACCUAGUCGAUGGUGAAAUAGACGAGAAGACUUGGCUAAACUGGGACAAGAGUCUUUACAGCGUGUGGAACCUUCAACCGUCCAAUAAUCGGGUCAACUUCAUUGUCCAAUAUAACAUCACCAACUAUUCAACGAAAGACAAGUUUUGUUUUGAAUACUAUUUGGUUGUUAGGAACACCGUUUCUCACAGUUCCCUCUCCUUCUUUAUGGUCUACCACAACAACCGCACUAUUGUGGACUAUACGGUCUACAAGACAGAGUACACAGUCAAGCUCGUUCCUUAACGUUCCACAACAAACGCUGUACGAAACUGGACUUGUAGGACAGACUUGAAGUUCCUGUACUUCCCUUCCACAAAAGGAAGUUUUGAUGAAGACGUCUACAGUGGAUGUCCCUCCAUAGCCUGUCACUUGAAAGUUAAAGAAGUCUACGUGUUCCACCACUUCGUUAUGGUAGAAAUAGUAAUCAGUUCUUUUUCAAGGAGCCUUUUAUACGUUAUAGUCGCCUUCUCAAGAGACUACUUUACCAACCUCGUUUCAGGGCGUUGUAUCGUAUGGACUUUCCUUUUCAUGGAAGUACCCAACCAUAGGGUUGUAGUCAACGGUAUGGUAAACCCUGGAAACUCUUCUAUAACAGACUACUCUGGUUAUUCCUUCAUCGUGUUUUGUAUGUCUACGACUUCCCGUCUGAACGAGUUCUUCUAAAAUCACGAGAUCCUCUUUAGGCCUUUUGACAAGAAUUAGAUUGACGAGGUUGAGUUGACCAAUUCCUCGACUUCCUCUUCUACGAUUCGAGGCCUUACGGGACCGGACCUCUACUUUCACUGGUGGCAACCCUCGUUCGAACCUACCAUUAAUUUUUCCAAACCCGUAGUUUUACCUUACUUUCUCGUAUAAAAUCGUGUGCGUUCCACUUUGAGCUAGUACUCAUGGAAAGGUACCGACAAGAACAUGUUCUUUAACAGUUGCGUCUGAUACGGAAACAGUAAGUAUGAUGCUUGGGCAGUAGACCUCUAAGAAGACUCUAUAUACGACUUCACCACUUUCCUGAACCUCUCUGUGAACACCCUCGAAUAGGACCGGCACGGUACUCGAAGCACACAUUCUUUCUACUGGAACUGAGAGGGUUCCAUGACCCAAUGGGAUCGUUCGGUUAACCAGAGAAGUAUUUCGCCAGUUAGUAGAAGGCAAGUCUGAGAUUACCACUCCUAGACCUUCCAAUGCGACCUCGUCCCGACAUACUAUCACAGGGAUACCUACACCUUCUACUUCAACAUGAGCUGAUGUGCUGGCUGGGAGAGUAGUGACUGAGACCUAAGGCCUCGAGUUAGGAGAGUUCGUAACGUGCCCGACCGGUGCGGUAACUCCUCGAGAUACCCAGUGGCGUCCUACAACUCCCUCAUCACUUCCUACCCUUCUAGAUGCAUCAGGUCUGUUCUGGUGUCUACAUUAUACAUACAUAUCCGUCGAGUUCGACAUCUCAUCAUCCUAUACACCAGGAACGACCGUACAUAUCAAGAUGAGUAUCUACGUGUUGUGUAGAUGCAACAAUAAAUAAACGUAUAUGCGAGUCUUAUUCGAAACUAGUGUAUGACAUAAAGGAUCUCAUGGUCUUGUACAUACGUGCUAGUCCUUAUACUGGAAUAAUUUUUGUAGCCCCCUCUUGCAAAACUCGUUAGAUAUAAAUGUGCACGACAAUAUUACAUUUAUAGCCAUCAGACGAACGAAAAACCA